UUGCGGCCGCGAUAGAAGCGGCAUCCUUUUGUCUGAGUGAGGCGGCGGAGCGCAGCGGAGCCGACCGACCGAAGACAAAAGAUAUAGCGGAUAGCACGAAUUGUC
rnacentral:sRNA from 1 species